UAUAUUAUUGUUAUUCAUCAAUGCCGGGACAUACCCAUUUGAUCUAAUUAGUUUAAUUAGAGCCACCAGUCAGGUUCGCUAUUUGGAAAUCAUUACGCCGUGUGUUUGAGGUUCCUUUCUGUCACAAAACCCACAAUUAUCGAUGGCAAAGCCAGUGUCAGAUUCGCACAGCAACACACCGGCGAUACAAGCGACGAACGACGACGCUUCAGCCAGUAAAUUGUCCUGUGUGAAAAAAGGAUACAUGAAGGAUGACUACAUCCAUUUAUUUGUUAGACGACCUGUGAGGAGAUCCCCAAUAAUCAACCGCGGCUACUUUGCGCGUUGGGCUGCUCUUCGGAAGUUUCUAUAUCAGUUUCUUGAUUGUGAAAUGAAUGCUGAUGAAAAAGGUCAUACGAAGAAGCAGAUACUGUCGAUUGGGGCAGGUUUUGAUACAACUUACUUUCAGUUACAGGAUGAGGGAAAAGCACCAUCUUUAUACGUGGAGCUGGAUUUCAAGGAGGUAACUAGUAAAAAGGCAGCAAUUAUUGAAUCCUACAGUCAGUUGAGGGAUAAAGUUGGUGCUACAUCAUCAAUCUCACGAGAGAAAGGAGAAGUGCUUGGUGAUAAUUACAAGCUGCUACCAGUUGACUUGCGAGAUAUACAAAAACUAGAUGAUAUCAUAGCUUUGGCUAAUAUGGAUCCCAGAUUGCCGACAUUUAUAAUUGCAGAAUGCGUUUUAAUAUACUUGGAUCCAGAUUCAACGCGAGCUAUAGUUGGUUGGGCAUCAAGGACAUUUUCAACUGCUGUGUUUUUCUUAUAUGAGCAGAUCCACCCUGAUGACGCUUUUGGACAGCAGAUGAUUAGAAAUUUGGAGAGUCGUGGCUGUGCAUUACUGGGAAUUUAUGAUACACCAACUCUGCUUGCAAAGGAAAGACUUUUUCUUGAUCAGGGAUGGCAGAGGGUUGUUGCAUGGGACAUGCUGAGAGUUUAUAGUGAUUUUAUUGAAGCUCAAGAAAGGCGCAGGAUUGAACGGCUGGAAUUAUUUGAUGAGUUUGAAGAGUGGCACAUGAUGCAGGCAAGCUAAUUCGUCAUUCAUGCUUCAAAAAAAAGUAAAAAGUGCUAUAGGAGCACUACUGUGUGGCUUGCGCCAUAAAUGAUGCCAUGGGGCUCUUUGGGAAUUUCGGUUUUCCUACCCACCAGCAGCACGUGAUCAGCAACCCUUCAGCAGCAUCUCCAUGAAAGCCCAAGACUGCACCAGAGUGUGGCUGCUCAUUGCCAUGUUUGGUUAAACAAAUAGUAUCAGGGCAGUGCCUAUGACUGACGCGUGCCAGUUAACCAGGUUAAGAGGUUGUCAGGUAAGAAGAGUCUCUCAAGCUAGUAGUAGUUAGGCUUUACUAAAAGUCUCCAUGAGGAUUGAUGACUUAUGUGGUUGGAUCUGUGUGCGUCGUUUGUCCGACUCUAGAAGACAGAUCCUUUCUUUUCUGUGCUAGCUGUUUGGCAAAACAAAUCGUGGUGGGUCCCUACACCCACCGGACUGUGUCAUAUAUAAUAUAAUGGCUUGUUUUUGGAGGGGGGGUCCAUGUCGUGUGGAAAAUAUACAUGCAUAGUUGGUUGCUUUUCUAUGUAUUCCCCCUUAGAAUUUAUUCUUCCUUGGCUCAUCUUCUGAGCUUUGAAAGCCCUUUUUAGGUCUUUAUUUAUUUUUCCCAGAUGACCAAAAUGCCAUUGAGAGCGGUAAGAGUUGCAAAAUUCAACGUGAAACUGCGACUAUCGAUGUGUCAUCCUGACUCUUUAUGUGGUUUGCUUGGACUGUGAAGUGCAAAUCUCUGAAUUUGUAAGGCAAAAUGGUGUUCUUUUCACAUUUGAUUCAAAAUUUAUUAUUUUUUUU